AUACGGAGGGUGCAAGCGUUAUUCGGAAUUACUGGGCGUAAAGCGCACGUAGGCCGCUUUGUAAGUCAGGGGUGAAAUCCCACGGCUCAACCGUGGAACUGCCCUUGAAACUGCAGAGCUUGAAUCCUGGAGAGGGUGGCGGAAUUCCUGGUGUAGGAGUGAAAUCCGUAGAUAUCAGGAGGAACACCGGUGGCGAAGGCGGCCACCUGGACAGGCAUUGACGCUGAGGUGCGGAAGUGUGGGGAGC
rnacentral:rRNA from 1 species